rnacentral:rRNA from 1 species
AGAGUUUGAUCAUGGCUCAGAUUGAACGCUGGCGGCAGGCCUAACACAUGCAAGUCGAGCGGUAGCACAGAGAGCUUGCUCUCGGGUGACGAGCGGCGGACGGGUGAGUAAUGUCUGGGAAACUGCCUGAUGGAGGGGGAUAACUACUGGAAACGGUAGCUAAUACCGCAUAANGUCGCAAGACCAAAGUGGGGGACCUUCGGGCCUCAUGCCAUCAGAUGUGCCCAGAUGGGAUUAGCUAGUAGGUGGGGUAACGGCUCACCUAGGCGACGAUCCCUAGCUGGUCUGAGAGGAUGACCAGCCACACUGGAACUGAGACACGGUCCAGACUCCUACGGGAGGCAGCAGUGGGGAAUAUUGCACAAUGGGCGCAAGCCUGAUGCAGCCAUGCCGCGUGUGUGAAGAAGGCCUUCGGGUUGUAAAGCACUUUCAGCGGGGAGGAAGGCGUUAAGGUUAAUAACCUUGGCGAUUGACGUUACCCGCAGAAGAAGCACCGGCUAACUCCGUGCCAGCAGCCGCGGUAAUACGGAGGGUGCAAGCGUUAAUCGGAAUUACUGGGCGUAAAGCGCACGCAGGCGGUCUGUCAAGUCGGAUGUGAAAUCCCCGGGCUUAACCUGGGAACUGCAUUCGAAACUGGCAGGCUAGAGUCUUGUAGAGGGGGGUAGAAUUCCAGGUGUAGCGGUGAAAUGCGUAGAGAUCUGGAGGAAUACCGGUGGCGAAGGCGGCCCCCUGGACAAAGACUGACGCUCAGGUGCGAAAGCGUGGGGAGCAAACAGGAUUAGAUACCCUGGUAGUCCACGCCGUAAACGAUGUCGAUUUGGAGGUUGUGCCCUUGAGGCGUGGCUUCCGGAGCUAACGCGUUAAAUCGACCGCCUGGGGAGUACGGCCGCAAGGUUAAAACUCAAAUGAAUUGACGGGGGCCCGCACAAGCGGUGGAGCAUGUGGUUUAAUUCGAUGCAACGCGAAGAACCUUACCUGGUCUUGACAUCCACAGAACUUUCCAGAGAUGGAUUGGUGCCUUCGGGAACUGUGAGACAGGUGCUGCAUGGCUGUCGUCAGCUCGUGUUGUGAAAUGUUGGGUUAAGUCCCGCAACGAGCGCAACCCUUAUCCUUUGUUGCCAGCGGUCCGGCCGGGAACUCAAAGGAGACUGCCAGUGAUAAACUGGAGGAAGGUGGGGAUGACGUCAAGUCAUCAUGGCCCUUACGACCAGGGCUACACACGUGCUACAAUGGCAUAUACAAAGAGAAGCGACCUCGCGAGAGCAAGCGGACCUCAUAAAGUAUGUCGUAGUCCGGAUUGGAGUCUGCAACUCGACUCCAUGAAGUCGGAAUCGCUAGUAAUCGUAGAUCAGAAUGCUACGGUGAAUACGUUCCCGGGCCUUGUACACACCGCCCGUCACACCAUGGGAGUGGGUUGCAAAAGAAGUAGGUAGCUUAACCUUCGGGAGGGCGCUUACCACUUUGUGAUUCAUGACUGGGGUGAAGUCGUAACAAGGUAACCGUAGGGGAACCUGCGGUUGGAUCACCU